rnacentral:lncRNA from 13 species
AUGGUAAUCAAUAUUAUCAACUCUCCCGUUGCUGUUCAUGAUCUUCUCACACUCCGGAGGACGGCUCCUCUGUUCCAGAUGAUGGGGGUUCCGGGGUCCUGUCACCUGAGAAAGACGGCUCCUCGGUUCCAGAUGAUGGGGGUUCCAGGGUCCUGUCACCUGAGAAGGACGGCUCCUCGGUUCCAGAUGAUGGAGGUUCCAGGGUCCUGUCACCUGAGAAAGACGGCUCCUUGGUUCCAGAUGAUGGUGGUUCCAGGGUCCUGUUACUUGAGAAGGACGGCUCCUUGGUUCCAGAUGAUGGUGGUUCCAGGGUCCUGUCACCUGAGAAGGACGGCUCCUCGGUUCCAGAUGAUGGUGGUUCCAGGGUCCUGUUACCUGAAAAGGACAGGUCUAGACACACAUUUUGGUAAUAAGCGUGAGCUAAAGAGUGACUGUUGCAAUGUAUCAUUCUGAGUGUUCUUAUUCAACAUGGCAAUGUUUUUUGGGGAACCACCAAACAAUCGACUCAACAUUUACCAUACAUGCGUUAAAGAGGUCAAUGGAACGCAGACCGUUGGAGAUAAAAGAAACACCGUCAUUGGCACCCAUUCAAAAAGAGAAUCUAUUAAAAAAGUGGAUAUUUAUCAAAUGCCUCGUUUCUAUGUUCGAACAGGCCCACAAGGUGGUUACUAAAAUCCUAUUUGGACAUAUUUGGCUGUUUUAGCUGCAUAAUAUUUAGAAGGUGUCCUUUUCCUGUUCAUAUAAGCUGGUAACAUAACUAGCAUAUAGAAAUGUGUGGUUGUAGGUGAAGACGUUUUUAAUUGUAAUAAAGUUGAUUGGUGACGAUGAUAUGAAAAUGCAUUGGGGUUGACAUCUAUACAAGCAUUAUACUCCGAUUUUUAACCAAACAUAGUGUGAAAUACCAUGUACAGUGGCUUCGGAAAGUACUCAGACCCCUUGACUUUUUCCACAUUUUGUUACGUUACAGCCUUAUUCUAAAAUGUAUUAAAUAAAUACAAAUCCUCAGCAAUCUACACACAAUACCCCAUAAUGACAAAGUGAAAAAGGGUUUUUAUAAACUUCAGCAAAUGUAUAAAAUAUACAAACAGAAUUACCUUAUUUACAUAAGUAUUCAGUCCCUUUGCUAUGAGACUCGAAAUUGAGCUCAGGUGCAUCCUGUUUCCAUCUAUCAUCCUUGAGAUGGCUCUACAACUUUAUUGGAGUCCACCUAUGGUAAAUUCAAUUGAUUGGACAUGAUUUGGAAAGGCACAAAACUGUCUAUAUAAGGUCCCACAGUUGACAGUGCAUGUCAGAGAAAAAAACAAGCCAUGAGGUCAAAGGAAUUGUUCGCAGAGCUCCGAGACAGGAUUGUGUCGAGGCACAGAUCUGGAGAAGGGAACCAAAACAUUUCUGCAGCAUUGAAGGUCCCCAAGAACACAAUGGCCAUCAUUCUUAAAAUGGAAUACGUUUGGAACCACCAAGACUCUUCCUAGAGCUGGCCGCCCGGCCAAACUGAGCAGUUGGGGGAGAAGGGCCUUGGUCAGGGAGGUGACCAAGAACCUGAUGGUCACUCUAACAGAGCUACAGAGUUCCUCUGUGGAGAUGGGAGAACCUUCCAGAAGAACAACCAUCUCUGCAGCACUCCACCAAUCAGGCAUUUAUGGUGGAGUGGCCAGACGGAAGCCAGUGCUCAGUUAAAGGCAUGACAGCCCACUUGGUCUUUGCCAUAUGGCACCUAAAGACUCUCUGAUCUGAUGAAAACAAGAUUGAGCUCUUUGGCCUGAAUGCCAAGAGUCACGUCAGGAGGAAACAUGGCACCAUCCCUACGGUGA